GUUGCCUAGGCGACGCCCCGCCUCCGCAUUCCAAUGUGCGGCGGCGAAGCCGGGCGCCGGGCAAGGAUGGCAAGCUCCGCUCUUUCCUUUCCCAGCACAGCUGGGAAGACAUGCGUGUCCUGGAAUUACACCAAGGCCUCCCUCCAGGCGCCGCCACUGGACUUCUCCUUCCGGGGCAUCAGCUUCAUACAAGGUACGACCGAAUCCCCUGCCUGGCGCCGUUUUUAUUCCUGGGUUUUGAUAUUGGAUAUUAGAAGAUGC